GCUAAAGUGGCAGAUUAGUGUGUUGGAUUUAGGUUCCUUUUAUGGAUUUUUAUUCCUUUAGUA
rnacentral:tRNA from 1 species